rnacentral:lncRNA from 1 species
UGGGACCCUCCUGCAUCUGGGGUAGCUGCAUCUGGGGAUCGCGGAAGCUGGGCUGAGGCACCAUGGCUCACACAGCACAGGCACCCUGUGUCAGGCCCUGCCAGCCCUGGUCCCACCUGCUGUGGCCUCAGUCACUGCUGAGCUGGGUGUCUGAAGCGCUUGUGUCUGAAGCAAAGGGCAUUCCUGUUCCAUCCGUGGCCUGUGCACCUCCCAUCCUGUCGCCCCCAGGCUGCAAGAGCGGGUGAAUCAGGAGCCAGGCCCUGGCGGCCACAGCUUUGCCUCAGUGCCACUCAGGAUGGAGCUUGGUCUCUGACCCUCACACCUGCCCUGAGGGAGUAGCCGCGACAAGCACCGGAUUAAUUGGCAUCGUUGCUCGGAUAAAGUUUGGCUGAGCUUGGCCUCUGGGCCUGGGAGCGACUGGCAGGCUUGGCCAGCCCCUCCUGCGCCUCUGUCCGCAGAGCCCAGCCCGCGACAGGAUGCUCCCUGGGAGGGCCCCUGGUGGCAUUGUCCUGCAGAAGCCGGGCGCUCAGGGCUGCCCAGUGGGGCCGCGUUGUCACCGUGGGGUGGUGGCAGUUGGCCUCAGCCACACUUGCCUCCUCCUGGAGCUGCCUGAGGGAGGGCAGGCAGGAGGGCAGCCCCCUCUGCAGCUCCUGGUGUGGUCAGCCUGCCCCACCCGCCAGGGGACCCUGACACCGGGAUUCUCGGGCCAGGAGCUCAUUUGAGAUGGGGAUCGGGAGGCUGGAAGGGAAGAGAGGGGAGGAGGAAAGGCAUGUCUCAGCCCCAUUCCAUUCCUUGUGACUCAGGCAGUGGUUCCCAGGGCGUUCACUCACCUGCUCUGGGGUUCUCCAUGUGUGGACAGAGGGAGGCGAGAUGCUGGACAGGCCCGCAGGGUCCGGGGGUGCAGGGAGCGCCCCGGGCUGCGUGGAGAGGUCAGGCUGAUGCCGUGAGACCAAGUGCCCACCGUGAAUCCCACCAUUGCACAGACCAGCUGGGGCUGCCAAGGCCAGCAACAGUGGAAACAUCAGAGCCAUCUGACAGAGGAAGGUCUCCAAGUACCCCGCCCCGUCCCCAUCAUUCCUCCCGUCACCUGGGAGGCUUCCAGCCGUGAGGAAGGGGCGACCCGGGCCCUGCUCUCCCGGCCUGCCUGUUUUAUCUCCUAGCUCUUGCUGUAAGGGAGGAAGGCUGCGUCCGGCACUGGUUUUCGAAUCCCUGCAGGCCCUCGGUCCCCUGUGGAAUCCUCUGGAGGAUCCCAGCACCGCCGUGCGUGACCUUGGUCUUGUUGGCAGGCGGGGGCCCUGUGCGUUGUGGGGUCCAGUCGUGGGGACCGGGUCGUCUCUGAGUCAGGACUGAACCCGAGCUGGGGGUGAAGCCUUGUGUGACCCUCUGCGUCCCCCCGAGGUUCGUUUUCCAGAGGCCUGGGAGUCUGGACCCGGCUGCUGAGCCAGUGCAGGGCGGGGCGAGGGUCCCAUCCUCGCCCCAUAUCAAGGGGUGGCUUUUCUAGCACAGACGUGGGCCUGCGUGUCACAGACGGUCGUCAUUUGCCUCCUGAGGUCCUGUCCCGGCUCCAGAUGGAAGUCCACACCCCCCGCUCUGAUCCAUUUCAGCCCAGCUGCAGAUCCCGCUGCCCAGGUCUAAACCAGUCAGAGCGUGAAGGUCACCCCAGACCUAGGGGUUGGCUCAGGGCUGGUCAGGUGGUUUAAGCCAGUCCAGUCAGAGUGAAUUCUGGAAUUACCAGCGGGCCAUCGAGAAAAAAACAGGCAGCCUUUUCCCACAAGAUGAAACCAAGGCUGGGAGCUGGGGGAGCUGCAGCAACCUUAUCAUCAAGAGGCGAGAGCUUGGAGCUUCCAGGGUCCCUCACGAAGCCCAAGAAGGGGCCAGUGUCUGAACACCUAGAUCCAGCUGUUCCCAAAACAGACCCACUUGACUUUGCAAUAAAUUAGCACAUGCGUGCACACGCACACGCACACGCACACACACGCAUGCACACACACAUGCAACGCACACACGCGCACACACGCGCACGCACGUAUUUUUAGUUUUUUCUUUAAGCACAUCUGAAUUGGGUUUUCUGUUCUUAGAGCUGCAGGGGUCCCAUUGGAUUCCCCCUCUGUGGGAUGUGGGACCCCAGGCCUGGCCUUGCUGUAGUGGAGCUGAUUCCCCCUCUGUGGGAUGUGGGACCCCAGGCCUGGCCUUGCUGCAGUGGAGCUGGUUCCUCUGUGGGAUGUGGGACCCCCAGGCCUGGCCUUGCUGUAGUGGAGCUGAUUCCUCCUCUGUGGGAUGUGGGACCCCAGGCCUGGGCUUGCUGUAGUGGAGCUGAUUCCUCCUCUGUGGGAUCGGGGAUCCCAGGCCUGGCCUUGCUGUAGUGGAGCUGAUUCCCCCUCUGUGGGAUGUGGGACCCCCAGGCCUGGCCUUGCUGCAGUGGAGCUGGUUCCUCUGUGGGAUGUGGGACCCCCAGGCCUGGGCUUGCUGUAGUGGAGCUGAUUCCUCCUCUGUGGGAUGUGGGACCCCAGGCCUGGCCUUGCUGUAGUGGAGCUGAUUCCCCCUCUGUGGGAUGUGGGACCCCAGGCCUGGCCUUGCUGUAGUGGAGCUGGUUCCUCUGUGGGAUGUGGGACCCCCAGGCCUGGGCUUGCUGUAGUGGAGCUGAUUCCCCCUCUGUGGGAUCGGGGACCCCCAGGCCUGGGCUUGCUGUAGUGGAGCUGAUUCCUCCUCUGUGGGAUCGGGGACCCCCAGGCCUGGCCUUGCUGUAGUGGAGCUGAUUCCUCCUCUGUGGGAUCGGGGACCCCCAGGCCUGGCCUUGCUGUAGUGGAGCUGAUUCCUCCUCUGUGGGAUCGGGGACCCCCAGGCCUGGCCUUGCUGUAGUGGAGCUGAUUCCUCUUCUGUGGGAUCGGGGACCCCCAGGCCUGGCCUUGCUGUAGUGGAGCUGAUUCCUCUUCUGUGGGAUCGGGGACCCCCAGGCCUGGCCUUGCUGUAGUGGAGCUGAUUCCUCUUCUGUGGGAUCGGGGACCCCCAGGCCUGGGCUUGCUGCACAGUGGGGGCUCUUGCUCUCCUUUUGAGGGUUCAGCAUCCUGCUGCCUCCCCCCAGGUGUAGGUGGCCCCUGCUGUAGGAAACCUGUCUGCCA